CCUACGGGAGGCAGCAGUAGGGAAUUUUCCACAAUGGGCGAAAGCCUGAUGGAGCAAUACCGCGUGCAGGAUGAAGGCCUUCGGGUCGUAAACUGCUUUUAUGUGCGAAGAAUUUGACGGUAACACAUGAAUAAGGAUCGGCUAACUACGUGCCAGCAGCCGCGGUCAUACGUAGGAUCCAAGCGUUAUCCGGAAUUACUGGGCGUAAAGAGUUGCGUAGGUGGCAUUAUAAGUGGAGCGUGAAAGCGUGCGGCUCAACCGCAUUAUUGCGUUCCAAACUGUGAAGCUUGAGUAUGGGAGAGGUAGAUGGAAUUUCUAGUGUAGGAGUGAAAUCCGUAGAUAUUAGAAGGAACACCGAUGGCGUAGGCAGUCUACUGGCCCAUUACUGACACUAAGGCACGAAAGCGUGGGGAGCAAACGGGAUUAGAUACCCCGGUAGUCCACGCUGUAAACUAUGGAUGCUAGCUGUGACACACAUCGACCUGUGUCGUAGCGAAGUUAACGCGUUAAGCAUCCGCCUGGGGAUCGGUCGCAAGAUUAAAACUUAAGGAAUUGACGG
rnacentral:rRNA from 1 species